GUUUAGAUAUUUGGAACUGCUAAUAAAAUGAAGUUAUCAGAACACGUGGAAGAGACCAAAGGCGUGAGAUAGCUUUGGAUGUAUAUGGGUAAAAUAGAGAAUUUCAAAUCAACACAGAUGAAUUUGGUUUGUAUCCACGUUGGUAUGGACGAAAAAGUGCAUGAAUUAUCGAGAAAUGCUAGAAGUGACGAUAUCUCGUCUUCCUCAAUCGGCCAAAUAGCUCUAUCCUAAAAUUUCUUGCUCUUCCUCAAUCGACCAAAUAGCUCUAACCUAAAAUUUCUUGGACCUCAUUGGCAGGGCUAGAACGGCUUCGAGGCCGAAGCUCUCGCGGAGCCGGUCGAGAAAAUGUACAGCGGCACCGGAGCCGAAAAAACCAACUCCCGGCGGCUCCUCCUCUUGCCUGCGUCAAAAAGUAUUGAUUUGCCCCUCAAAUUCGCGUUAUCUACAGCAAAAUUGCCACCGGGCCUCUCCAUCCCAGCGUCCCGUCUCUCUAACCAUCGGGUGUGGCGGCGUACGGCUCGGAGGACUGGAGGAGCACCGAUGGUUGGCCUGGGCGCGGCUCCCAGCGCCGGCGCAGCCUCACGGCCCGGCGUGGUCGCGAGCGCGUAGCCAGCGGCCCGGCCUUGCCUGGCAGCAGAUCUUGGCACGAAUGGGGUACAGCAGGAGGAGGCCAGCAGCGCCCCGGCAACGGCAGAGGCGGGGCUGCAGCAAGCUAGCAGCGCUCUGGCGGCGGUAGAAGCGGGGCUGCAGCAUCGCAGGAACGGAGGAAGCAACACGACCGGGGGACGGAGGAGAACGACGUCGCGUGGCUGAAGCAGCCUGACGUGGAGAAGACAAGGCAGGAGCGGAUAAGAUAAGUACGGAAGAAAAAAAUAGAGAAAAUAAAGAAAGGAGAAAAAAAGUAAAAUAAAUAAAGGAGAAACGAGAGAAAAAGUAUUGACUUAAUCUAUAAUUUUAUUAGUUAAUUUUUUUAUUUCAUAUAAAUUACCGUAAGGAUUAUGCUAAUUUUAUAAUUACAAAAGCACUAAUCCCUUUAAUUUAUUUUCAUAAUUUCUUAUAACCUCAAAUUAUAAACUAACGUUUCAAUUCAUCCAUUCAAAUAAUCCACGCAACAAGGACAUAUAGGAUAUUUGAUCAAUUACAUCCAUUUUAAAUCCAUUUUAAAAAUACAGGAGAAGUUAUUUUGCCAACACUUUCAACAACUUUAGAUCUACUAGAGAAGCUGCUCCACCAAAGACGCUGCAACCGGAAUCGUUUCAGCCACGGCCACAACCCUGCCAAAUGAUUUAAAAUACUGUCACUAACAGCAUGGGCCCACUCCACUCCAGACGCAAGCACGUGGGCCCACGCGUCAGAGGGACGAGUCCCUCUGCAGAGGCUCGUCCGACAGCACGCGCCCCACUUCACCCACUCCAGAUCAGGCCGCCGCCGCUGCCUCACGACGCCACUCCCCAAGCGCCGAGCCGCCGGCGUCGGACCCCGACCCCGCAGCCAGGGAUCACACGCCCGGCCAAUAACCACGCUGCCGACAGGGGCGUUGAGAUGCCUCCCACUAGAUCUAGCGGCCAACCGCCGCAGCUAGCGCUGGUGAAGCACGUCGGCGCGGUAUGCACCUGCCUGCUCCCUCGCACCACAUUGCUGACUCCUCAAUUGGGCCGUCCGGAAUCCGAGCUCAAAUCCCCCAUUUCUCCGGCAUUCCGAACCAUAGCCGUCCUUGGUUGGUUUGAGGAGCAGCUGAAAAGAUUCCGAUGGGGGCAUCUUGGGACUAUAAAGACGGUAUCCAUGUGCAACACCUGCUCGAUCGAAUGCCCCUGAUGAAGCAAGCUCUUCGAGGAACAGCGAUCCCUGGCUCUUCCAGUCAGAAGAGUGCCCCCGACAGAAUCAGUGCCCUACCGGAUGAGCUGCUGCUUCAUGUCAUGUACUUCCUAACCCUGCAGGAGGCAGCGCAGACAAGUCUGCUUUCACGGAGGUGGCAGAAUCUCUGGGCAUCUUUGAUGUGGCUCAAUUUUGACGCAGCCAAGUUCAGCAGCAUGAGAACUUACAGAAAGUUUGUUAACAAUGCGCUUCUGAUCCGAAGUUCAUUGCCAGUUCCGGUGCCACUGGAUGCAUUUUGGAUUUCUGCUGAAUGCGACAACUCUGAUGAUUCCCUUGACUAUUCUGACAUGCACCCAUGGAUUCGCCAUGCUCUUAAUAGCAAGGCCUGGGCUAUAGGCAUACUGAAACAUUCCGGCCCCAAGCCCCUUUCUAUGCAGGGUUAUCCCUUUCCUUUCACCUCGGUGUACUCGAAAAUUUUAGGCCUUUGCCAUUGUUCUAUAGAUGACUGGGUUGCCUGGUGUUAGACGACCUAGAGUUGAUGAGUUGCGCCAUCCAUGUCACCAUCUUUUCGUCAACCAAAUUGAAGAGUUUGACCAUUACCAGUACACACAUCGAGGAAGAUUUCCCUAUAGAAUUUCAGCAUCUUGUGAUAGAUAUGCCAAACCUAGUCUCAGUGCAGUAUUCUCAGUGCAGUAUAAUUUGGAAACCAUCAGGUUCAGUGCAGUAUUCUCAGUGCUCUUUCAUACGCCACCAAAUUGACUGUGGUAUCUCCGUCUGUCUUUGAAGAUGUGGUGCCAAAGGUAUUGCAGCAUGAUCUUCUAAGUUGUGAGACAUUCAGCAAUCUGGAACAAUUGCACCUUGGCGAAUGGUUUUCGAGUCCUGGGUGCUAUCCACUAAUAUGCUUGCUUCGGCGCUCACCUGGCAUAAAGAAACUUGUCCUGCAACUU